AUGGAGAACGGUGACAAGGCUCCAGAUGUCUUUCCCAUGAUCUCCUCUUGCAAAGGCUCUCCUACCUCCACCCAGGUUUCUGUGGGCUGUCUUGUCGCGGGCUACUUCCCUGAACCUGUCACAAUGCAGUGGAAAAAGGACUCUAGCACCAUCUCUACUGACGUCAAGAACUUCCCAUCAGCACUGGACCUGAGCAAAGGGCUUUUCACCACAAGUACCCAGCUCACCAUCCCAGCUGCCAGUAUGAGUUCCCACACAUACAGCUGCAUUGUAAACCAUCCGAAAACCAAAGCCCACAUAACCAAGACAAUACCAGGUGCCGGUACUGCCCCCACGGUGCGUGUGCUCCACUCCUCCUGCAGUGUUCCAUCAAAGGACAACAACAUAGAGCUGGUGUGCCUCAUCUCCAACUUCGUCCCCUUGCCUGUGGCUGUGGAUUGGCUGGUGGAUGGCACCUCGGGACUUGUGACCUUCAGUACCACAACCCCCCGGAAGAAUGAGGAUGGUAAAACCUACAGCACCACCAGCCAAGCCAACAUCACACAGGAGGAGUGGCUGCAGGGGAAGACAUACACAUGCAAAGUGACCCAUUCAGCAACAGCAACCGAAAAGCAGGACCAUGCCCGGAGAUGCCCAGUAUCAACACAAGCUGCCAGUGACAUCCAAGUCUACGUGGUGCCCCCAAGCCCUGGAGACUUGUAUGUGAAGCAGAGCCCUGAGUUGAUCUGCAUGGUCAUCAACCUGCCCAGCAAAGUGGCACCAAAGGUGACCUGGACCAAGGACUCUCCAGGUGCCCUGAAUGCCAAACCUCUGCAGUGGGUGGAGCAGUCCAAUGGCACCUAUACUGCUACCCGUGCCCUGCCCAUUUUCACCCCAGACUGGGAGAAGAGGCAGAAGUUUACCUGCAAGGUAGAACACCCAGAAUUGCCUUCGCCUCUCACCAAAACAAUCUCCAAAAAGACAGGUAAGCAGAGUGCCCCUGAUGUCUACGUCUUUGCCCCCCACCAUGACGACCUCAACAAGAAAGAGAAUCCUGUCAGCAUCACCUGCCUGGUCGAGGGCUUCUACCCUGAGGACAUCUCAGUGCAGUGGAUGCACAAUCAGACCCCCGUGAAGGACAAUGCCUAUGCCACCACCGCACCCAUGAAAGAGACUCCUGGGGAUUCACCCUACUUCCUCUACAGCAAGCUGAACAUCAACAAGUCCAGCUGGAAUAAUGGAGACAUCUUUACCUGCAUGGUCGUCCAUGAAGCCCUCCCUAUGAAGUUCGUCCAGAAGUCUGUCCAGAAACAACCUGAGGUGUUUGUGCAAGUGGACAUGUGCAGUUAUGAUAAAGAUGAGGAAAUGGAGGGACUCUGGGCCACCAUCUCUGUCUUCAUCACCCUCUUCCUCCUGAGUGUGUGCUACAGUGCCACAGUGACCCUAUUCAAGGUGAAGUGGCUCUUCUCCACUGUGGUGCAGCUCAAGCAAGCAAACGGCUCCGAGUACAAGAAUGUGAUCCAGCGUGUGGUGUAG